UGUCCGAGCCCUGGAGCCCUGGAAAGUUCCAGAACAGCGGUGAGCUGAGGACCAGGGGCACGAGGGGCCGGCCAUGGAACCACACACAUUCCGCGAAGCAGCCCUGGCCCCGGAGGAGAACCAGCUUUGCACGGGGGAUGAUUUUCGAGGGGAAGUGCCACACGGAGCCAAAUACCCAAACGGGGGACGGAAGACGGGGAUCUUCGGAUGUUAUCAAACGUGUGCAAAGCCAUUAGCCACGUGCUGUCCGGGCCCUGCCGGCGGUCGCUCCGCAACCGAGAGUGUGUUUUCGGGAUGACGAUAAACGGCGUUUGAGAAGGGUGAACGCCGACAUCCCAGCUGUCCUAGAGAGUCGGAAACUCAUCAAAAAAGGGAACGAGCAUCGUCAUGGAGUCACACGGGCCGAAGCGGAGUUUGGUAAGGGAAGUGCCGAAAACCAAAGCUGAGCUCUCAAGUUUCCGCCUUAAUAGGAUUGAGCGAGCACUGGGCGUUAGUCUAUAUGUUGGCAAGUUGAACACGGGUAAAAAAUAAAUUUAUGUUAAAAAAAAUAAAAUAAAAUAAU
rnacentral:lncRNA from 1 species